GCAGUGACAAGCUGUAACGGUUGAGUAUUAAUCUAAUUUGACGUGUAUCUGGCAUGCGUUAUACGUUUACGCGUAUAUUACUGCAUACGCCGAUACUAUGUGUGCUCAGUCUGGAAUGCGGUGAGUCUAAACAACUCAGAACCUAUGUUUCAUUACAUGUAUCUGAAUUUUCAAGUGGAGGGCAAGUCUGGUGCCAGCAGCCGCGGUAAUACCAGCUCCACUGGCCUAUACAAUCAUUGUUGCGGUUAAGAGGCUCGUAGUUGGAUUGAACAACCAAUUUUGUUACAAUACUGUGAUCAAAUCAGCACGUAUCACGUAUGUAUUUUUUAAUACGCAUUGUAUGUUUAUUCAUGGAAUGUUGUAUUUUUAUAUGUCGAUGGGGAUAGUUGGAGUCAACAGUACUAGUAGGCGAGUGGUGAAAUGCAUUGACCCUACCAAGACUACCAAAAGCGAAAGCAGUUGUCUAGGCUAUAUUCUUUAUACAUCAUUACACACAUGUAUAUGUACACUCUUUACAAUGAAGAACGAAGGUUGGGGGAUCAAAGAGGAUCAGAUACCCUCGUCGUCCCAUUUUAUACAUCAAACGAUGGGUUCUCACUCGACCAAAAAAAUAUAUACUAUCCACACACAUCGUGUGUUUAUGUAUUAUAUACUGAUUUUCUAAGCUUUGCGCUCAAUUUAUAUACGGUGAGAUGUAAGUAAUGGCUUUCGUAUUUUACAUACGUUAUGCUAAAUUAUGAUGCACGCAUUAGGCAUGCGCUUACUGCAGAAAUGUCUGAGAUAUUCCCCUCCGGGGGUAGUAUGCACGCAAGUGUGAAACUUGAAGGAAUUGACGGAAGGGCACCACAAGAACGCGUGGAGCAUGUGGCUUAAUUUGACUCAACGCGGGAAAUCUUACCGGGUCCGGACACACUGAGGAUUGACAGACAAACAAUUUAUAUUGUUACAAAGAUGCUAGUUCUUUCAUGAUUAUGUGAUAGGUGGUGCAUGGCCGUUCUUAGUUCGUGGAGUGAUCUGUCUGCUUAAUUGCGUUUCAAUAUUUAAAUAUGUAUACGUAUGACCCAAUAACUAUGUUGUUGUGUGUCUAGUAUUACUAUCAUUUGAAAGCAACGAACGUGACCGUAUCCUUUUAUUAUAUACACACAUGUAUAUUGAUUUUAAAGGGACCGCUGUUUCUUUCUUUUAAACCAGAGGAAGGUUACGGCAAUAACAGGUCUGUGAUGCCCUUCGAUGUUCCGGGCUGCACACGUGCUACAAUGAUCAUUUCAUUAAGUAUCUUAUAUGUGUGUAGUUCUACUACUACGAUCCUACCCUGAGAAUGGGCGGGUAAUCAAUUAGAAGUAAUGAUUUCCUUUUUUUUAUACGCAACCAUGUACCGUUAUAUUACAUCCCAUAUACAUUCUUAUGUAUUAUGCGUGUGUGUUUUAUUAUUCGUUUGUACGCGUAACUGUUAAUUCAUGGUGGGGAUAGACCAUUGUUAAUUGUUGGUCUCGGUCUUAACUAGGAAUGCCUUGUACGGGUCAUUGGUUCAACAAACCACCCGGAAUACGUCCCUGCCCUUUGUACACACCGCCCGUCGCUCUUACCGAUGAACUUCGCUAUGAAUCUAUUGGACUGUACUCUGUGUACGGAAAGAUAUAUGAAUAGUGUGGUUUAAAGGAAAGAGAAGUCGAACAAGGCA
rnacentral:rRNA from 1 species